UACAGAGGUCCCGAGCGUUGUUCGGAUUCAUUGGGCGUAAAGGGUGCGUAGGCGGUGGGGUAAGUUGGAUGUGAAAUCUUGGGGCUUAACCUCAAAAUUGCAUUCAAUGCUGCUCCGCUAGAGUUCUGUAGAGGAGAUUGGAAUUUACGGUGUAGCAGUGAAAUGCGUAGAUAUCGUAAGGAACGCCAGUGGCGAAAGCGAAUCUCUGGGCAGCAACUGACGCUGAGGCACGAAGGCCAGGGGAGCAAACGGG
rnacentral:rRNA from 1 species